rnacentral:ncRNA from 1 species
GUUUAAUUCGAUGCAAAGCGAAGAACCUUACCAGGGCUUGACAUGCCGCGAAUCCUCUUGAAAGAGUGGGGUGCCUUGGGGAACGUGGACACAGGUGGUGCAUGGCUGUCGUCAGCUUGUGUCGUAAGGUGUUGGGUUAUACUAAGAAUGAAAUGAAGACUUUUAAAAUGUGUGGUCCAAAACAAAUCUUAUAAUAUAUGUAUGGC